AUUACAGUCACUGUCCUGCGUUAUUUUUAAAACGAGUUUUUAGGACUAGGGCAAUAAAGGUGCCUAUGUUGAUGGGAUUGCUGUACCUUCCAGUAAAUUGAGGAAAUGUGUGUUUGAGUGCCAACUCUCUACCGCUACCCAGGCUCCCUGGCUCCCUUUCGCCCUUGCCUCCUGGAUGUGAAACUCGAGUUUCUGUACCCGUUCCUGGCAGUUUUAGGUUUUGUGUCGGAUUUCCUGUCUAGAAGCAGAUACCAAGAUUUUAACUGGUUCAUGAUGUUUCCUUCCAAUUGUAAACACUUACAAUAUAUUGGGUUGACACUGAAAUCACUGCUUUCAUGAAUGAUUUUUAGUUACUCGAGUAAAUAUUCGCUUUUUAAAUUGUUUAUUUUUUAUUUUGGUAUCAUUAGUGUACACUUACAUGAGCAACACUGUGGUUACUAGAUUUCCCCGUUACCAAGUCCGCACGACAUACCCCAUUACAGUCACUGUCUAUCAGCAUAGUAAGAUGCUAUAGAAUCACUACUUGCCUUCUCUGUGCUGUACUGCCUUCCCCGUGCCCAUCGCCCCAGCCCCCUGCACUAUGUGUACUAUUCGUAAUGCCCCCUUUUCCCCUUAUCCCCCGCUUCCAACCCAUCCUCCCCAGGCCCUUACCUUUGGUAACUGUUGGUAGCCUUCUUGGGUUCUGAUUCAGUUUUUUCUUUGUUCUUAUACUCGACAUAUGAGUGAAAUCACUUGAUACUUGCCUUUCUCCGCCUGGCUUAUUUCACUGAGCAUAAUACCCUCUAGCUCCAUCCGUGUUGUUGUGAAUGGUAGGAUUUGUUUUCUCCUUAUGGCUGACUAAUAUUACAUUGUAUAUAUGUACCACAUCUUCUUUAUCCCUUCAUCUAGUGAUGGACACUGAGGUUGCUUCCAUAUCUUGGCUAUUGUAAAUAAUGCUGCGAUAAACAUAGGGGUGCAUAUGUCUUUUUUGGGUCUGUGAUUCUGUUUUGUUAGGAUAAGUUUCUAAGAGUGGAACUCCUGGAUCAAAUGCUAUCUCUAUUUUGAGUUUUUAGUUGAGCGGACGUGGUCCUGAACAUUUCAACACAUGGACCAGCGAUGACUGGCCCGUCUGGCACCCUGGGGAGAAGGCUUGAAAGCUGGCCUCCUGCGUGUCCCUGGAGUAAUAGCAGAGUUGGCCUCCAGAGAUCGCGGUAGUGUACCCAAUACGUCCCGGAGAGGUCUGGUAGCCAUUAACAGAGGAGCGACUGGCUUCUGUGUAUCACGCCUUGCUGGCUAUGGAGCCCAUCACCGGAACAGCCCCGACCAAGGGGUCAUACCUGCAUGUGUCUUCGGCCUGUGGCUGGGAGCGGAGUCAGCGUCUGGAAGGGUGACUUCCUAAGUCGACACAACGAGGUGCUCUGUCUACACCCGAGGAUCCAGACUUCCCUUCUUUCGGGCCGGUGCAACCAGGCCUCCGGGGUCCCGGGAGCGCUCACACAGCAAGCAGGCUGCGGUCUCGCCUCCACACCGGGAGCUCUGGGUCAAACGCUUGGAUCUGGAAGGCAGGUGGCUCUGGCCUCAGGUGGCCCCUCCUUCCUCGCCCAGCCUCCAGAUCCCACGAUCCCGUGUUCCCCCCACUGCCGUCCGGCACCCCCGCCCCCAGAUCCCAGCUGCUCACGCACCUCCUCACACUCUUCCCGGGAGACCCAGGCCCUCCAGCCCAUGGACUGGGCGAAUUGGACUCGCCGUUGGUGGAAGAGGAGACGCCGGGCACGGUUGUUCCCGUAGAGGAGCCAAAGGAUGGCCUGCUUGGGGCCCUCGUCGUCCUCCUCCAUGUCGUUGGCCAGGUAGCUGGGGAGAGACAUCGGGCUGCUGGUCAGCAGCAAGAUGGGAAGGAUCCCCAGCCGAGGUCAGCUUCCAAGGAGAGGCCCAGGCUGAUCUUCACAGAGGACCUACGGGAGCCCUACCAGCGCCACACGGGGCCACGCAGUCAUCAAGAAGCCACUGCGGGGCAGGGACCUGAAGGGCACCUCUCACACCUGGAUGCUGAAGACAAAGGCCCUCGGGGAGGCCUGAGGGCGAGCAGGGCAGCUUCCAUGCAAUGUCCCCAUCAUCUGCCCUGUGCCCUUCAAACCGGCUGUAUGUGCACACCCUGCGGCUCCCUGCGGAGGCGUCCAGAGGGCAGGAACUGACUAGCCGGUUUCUGUAGUCAUAGCUUCCCUCCCACGGGGCUCAGGCUGGAGGAUGGGUGCCACGUGCCCUUCUCAAGGCUCUCCUCCCAGCCCUCCUAGUCCCUGGCACGGAAUGCAGUCUACAAGAUUUCACUGGAUGGAUGGAUGGAUGCUUUUAUCUCACAGUCAAAUGCCAUACCGAUCGCCUCAUGGACUCAGUGUAACUUAAACGUUUGCAACGCAAAGUAGCGUGCUGAGGGCUUUGUGAACAUGCGGAUAUUUUGACAAGACCUGCCUGCAGCGGUGUCUGGUCUGAUGGUUUGGAGAAGGGGAGGGGGGUGACAGGAAGUAACUAUUACCCAGAACGUGACAUGGCACUAGGAUUUUAGCUGAUGUGCUACUGGGGGACCACAGUUAGGGGGCCAGGGGAGGCGUGGUAACAGUCGUGCUCUUUGCACCGACUUUAAGGAGUGGUCGUUUUCUUCCAAUAUAUAUGUGUGUGAAAGACACCUACAAGUCAGAAGACACAAUGUGAACACAGAGGGAAGGGAUUUCAGACGGAGCAUUGGAACAAAGCAGUGCAAUAUGAGGACCAUAAGCAAGUGUGAUGCUGACUGUGGGGACGGCUGAGUUCAGACUGAGAAGGCUGGCCCCGGCUUAGAACCCCCUUAGCUGGUGACAUUGCUGAGGAGGGGCGGGGAGCAUUAGAAAUGUGUUCUCGGAGGAUUUGGGGCACGUAAAGCCUUGUAGGAAGCACGGGUGGGGAGUGCCUACGCUCGGUCUGUGUCACAUGACGAGGGCCUGCACUGUGGCGUCUGCCUGGGAACCCAGAGGACGACGGUCCACUCGAUGUGGACUCGGGCAGGUGAGCGGCCGAGGCUUUGGAGGCGGUGCGGUCUCAAGCCUGGCCACGUGGGGACAGCGUGGUGCCCAUUCUGUCCCUCCUCUUAGGAGGGUUUUAUGUGGUCCUUCGUUUGUUCCCGUGUUUUAAGUGGUGUUAGGGUUGUCUGUCUCCACAGACAGCAGUAUAGAAACCGCUCUGUUAUAAUCCUGUCCUUCGCAUACCAAAGUGAACGGUACACGUGGAGUGAGAAAGCAAAUAGAUGCAACGUCAGAGUCCCACACCCCUCCCUCCGCCCUCCCGGAGGACUGAACGUUGACGGCCGGCCACUGACAGCAAUACUCACAGAGCUAUGAAGAAGUGAAUUGUCUGGUACUGCCAGGAGGGGAGGCCAGCCCGGCUGAAAUACGCUAUGACCAUGGCCAGGAGAUACUGAGGGAGAGGA